AACGAACGCUGGCGGCAGGCUUAACACGUGCAAGUCGAACGCCCCGCAAGGGGAGUGGCAGACGGGUGAGUAACGCGUGGGAACGUGCCCUUCGCUUCGGAAUAGCCCCGGGAAACUGGGAGUAAUACCGGCUACGCCGUAUUGGGAAAGAUUUAUCGGCGAAGGAUCGGCCCGCGUUAGAUUAGCUAGUUGGCGGUGUAAUGGACCACCAAGGCUACGAUCUAUAGCUGGUCUGAGAGGAUGAUCAGCCACACUGGGACUGAGACACGGCCCAGACUCCUACGGGAGGCAGCAGUGGGGAAUCUUGGACAAUGGGCGCAAGCCUGAUCCAGCCAUGCCGCGUGAGUGAAGAAGGCCUUAGGGUUGUAAAACUCUUUCGCCGGAGAAGAUAAUGACGGUAUCCGGAGAAGAAGCCCCGGCUAACUUCGUGCCAGCCGCCGCAGUAAAAC
rnacentral:rRNA from 1 species